UGCAAAACUGUCCUCCUAAAGCACUCCCCCUUCUUCCCUCUCCUCCAGACUCCUCUGAACUUGAACUCUUGGAUGUUGGUUGGAUUUGCAUGCCAUGUCUGUUCGAACUUGCACACAGCCUGGGCCAGCAGAGAUGUUUUAUCUACGGUGACAAAUUGCUGUGUAAAGUUACAGUGUGACAUGGAGAGAACAACCACGCUGAUGGGACUGCAAUCUGAGACACAUAAUGUGCCAGGGAGAAGAGGCAAAGAAAACAAAGAAACUCCAGGCUGAUCUGCAGAAGGGCAGGAAAAAAUUGCCUUCCAGAUGAAAUAUGUGGCAAGAAGAGCUAUAUUUCCAAACAAUUUCAGAGAAAUAAUUUUGUAAGUUAUUUGUCACUCUGCUGCACAAAAUGAUCAGACACACUGUCCAAUCAACACCAAACCAGAAACUAACAGGCAUGAGAUGUGCUCCAACAUGUGCUGGCAGGAGCAGUCGGAGAAGACUGGCUACAGAAGCUCAUCAAGAAAUGCAAAAGGCAUGACCUGCUAUCUAAGUCCCUGCGGUCACAGAGUAGGCAAGGGGACUUCGUGCUGUGGUUUACCUUGUGACUUCUGGGGCUUUUGGGAUGUCCUGAGGAACCACAUGAUCAGCAGACACAUUCCCUCUUCUGCCAACACAGGAGCACCCUCUAACAGUGCCCGUCUCCCAGGAUGCAAGAUUUGCCGAGGCACAGGUGAUGGAGCGUCCCGGCAGAGAGCAGGAGCCCUCAGCUGGAGGUCUGGGGUGACAUGCAGCUUCUCUGAGUUACUUCUCUGACCAUUAUCCAAGACUCACAGAAGAUGUGCUGGAUGAGCUGAUGAGCCUUUUGUACUGCAGAUCUCCUCAAAACGCUGCAGGGUCAACAGCACAGUGCCAAACUAGAAUCAAUGAGGCCUUACGCAGACACUCAAGAAUAACAAGUCAACCAGUGGAUUUUCAAGCAGACUGUAACAGCUUGUUAUCUGAUGUCCCCUGGGCACAAACACUGAGACAUCUGCAGUUUUUGACCUUUUUUUUUGUCUCUGCUGGCUCAAUAGCUAGUUAGCUGGUCAUUCAAUGUGAAAACAAAACAGAGGAAAGGAGAGCAAAUUGCAAUAGGCAGGAGAUGCUGGACAGUUAGGAUGCCAAAAGGACUGGAAAUAUCUAAGUACAGAGGUUGCUUUGCUCUGCUUUAUUAUUUGUGCAUUAAGCUCUCUGAGUUGGUUUUUGGAACUCUGUUAAAAGCAGGGUUUUCAAUAUGCCAGUUGUCACCGAACUUUUAUGUUGGUUUUAUUUUGCAUAUAUUUUGCAUCUCUAUUCUCUUUGCUUGGCGCUGCAAGUUAGAAAUUAACCUGAAAAACACACGUUGAGACUUCACUGACUUUCCCAGACUUUUUUUUUGUCUGAGAACACAAAGCUCUCUUCAUAGCAUCUCCUCUAGUUCCAUCAAGGGGAGGGAAGAUCCCCAGAAGACUGACUUCUGGAUCAUCCUUUGUACUGAGAUCUCAGUUCCUUGGAAUGCAGUGACUGCACUAGCUUAUAUGCACGGGGGUGUGGAGCCUCCUUCCUGUUUCUAGGCUCUUGUUAAUAAAGAGUGUGCCCACAUUCUCA
rnacentral:lncRNA from 1 species